CUUGGUAAGGUGUUUCCCUUCCAAACCGAGACCUGUUUCAGCACGGGCUUGGUAAGGUGUUUCCCUUCCAAACCGAGACCUGUUUCAGCACUGGCUUGGUAAGGUGUUUCCCUUCCAAACCGAGACCUGUUUCAGCACGGGCUUGGUAAGGUGUUUCCCUCCAAACCGAGACCUGUUUCAGCACGGGCUUGGUAAGGUGUUUCCCUCCAAACCGAGACCUGUUUCAGCACGGGCUUGGUAAGGUGUUUCCCUCCAAACCGAGGCCUUUUUCAGCAAGGGGCUGGUAAGGUAUGCUUCCCCGAGGCCUGUUUCAGAAGGGGGGUUGGUAAGGUAUGCUUCCCCGAGGCCUGUUUCAGAAGGGGGGGGGGUUGGUAAGGUAUGCUUCCCCGAGGCCUGUUUCAGAAGGGGGGUUGGUAAGGUAUGCUUUCCCCGAGGCCUGUUUCAGAAGGGGAGUUGGUGAGGUAUGCUUCCCCGAGGCCUGUUUCAGAAGGGGAGUUGGUGAGGUAUGCUUCCCCGAGGCCUGUUUCAGAAGGGGGGUUGGUAAGGUAUGCUUCCCCGAGGCCUGUUUCAGAAGGGGAGUUGGUAAGGUAUGCUUCCCCGAGGCCUGUUUCAGAAGGGGGGUUGGUGAGGUAUGCUUCCCCGAGGCCUGUUUCAGAAGGGGAGUUGGUGAGGUAUGCUUCCCCGAGGCCUGUUUCAGAAGGGGGGUUGGUAAGGUAUGCUUCCCCGAGGCCUGUUUCAGAAGGGGGGUUGGUAAGGUAUGCUUCCCCAAG